rnacentral:lncRNA from 1 species
AUGCCCCGGGAUUGUCCCUGUGGUCUCCCUCCUGUGCGCCCCACCAGCACCCCAAAAUACCCGGGGUGCUCCCCAUCCUCCUGCAGCCAUCCUCGUGGCCUCGGUGCCACCUCUCCUGUCCCUCUCUCGGUGGCAGCGAGGUGGCUGGGGGGGGGCUUUUGGAGCUCCAGGACCCUCGUGUGCCUAUCGGGGCGAGGUGGCACAGGGGGACACGGGUGGGCAAGAGGUGAGGGUGCAGGAGGGGGGCGCGCACCACCGUGCGCCCCACGGGGCCGUGAGCCCUGCGGUGGCACUGGUGACACCGGUGUGUCACCAAUCACUCCAGCAGCUGCAACCUGCUGCCUUCUAGUGGCUGCUGACACGGUGCCACCCUGCCCACGCGUGUCCCCUCUGCCCACGCGUGUCCCCUCUGCCCACGCGUGCCACCCUGCCCAUGUGUGCCACCCUACCCACGUGUGCCACCCUUCCCAGUGCGCCCUCAGCCUUGUAGGUGACACCGGUGACCAUCCCCACUUGCUGUCAGUGGCACGAGCGAGCAUCCCUUGUCCCCAGGGAAGGCUCCGGGUUUCGGGGUGCGGGAUGGCUGGAGGGGGGACGUCCCCACCACCUCCCCACCCCUCCGCCGCCGGCGCCGAGCACCCGUGCGCCCCGUCCCGUCCCCGCCGCUCCCGCUGCCCGCGGCUGCUGCCACCGCUGUGUUUAUUUGUCUCCGGCCCCAGCAGGCAGCCAGACUGGUUCUGCUCCCGCUGCUGGAGGAGCGCCCGGUGCCAAAAAACCCGCCAGCGUCAUCGGGAGCAGAUGGAGGGAGGAUGGCACGCUCCCAGCGCGGGGACGCGCGAGCGCCGCGGGAAAGGGGUGCCGGGUCGCCGGGUGCCACCGUGUCCUGGCACAGGGGACAGCAGUGGCCUCGGCCAUCCCCUGACCCACGUCCCCACAGCCCCCCCGUGUCCCCUGAUGUCCUCGGGUCGUGGCAGGAAGGCAGCGAGCGCGCCCGGGGGCUGGCACCUCUUCCUGCGCCCCUAUAGGGCUGGGGGCGGUGUUGGGGCGCCCUGCCUUGUUUUGGGGUUCGGCCCCCACCCCGGUGAUGCGGCUGGCGCCGGUGACGUGCCCCCGGGUCUGGGACCUGUUUUUCAGCACGGGUUUGCCUGCCGGGAAGAGCAGCUGGAGGCAGGGGAGGGGAGGGAGGAUCGGGAGAGCUGCGGCGCGCCACCGAGCCGGGGGCCCCGGGAGAGGCCCCACCUCGUUGUGGGGUGGGGAUGGGGACAGGGAUGGGGACAGGGACAGCUCGGCGGCACCCAGAGUCCCAAAUCCCUGUGCCUGGCCAUCUCCCUGCCCGCCGUGCCUCAGUUUCCCCAUGCAGGGCAGCUCUCCCAGGGGAUGGGAACACCUGGACAGAUGGAUGCUCUACUGGGGGGGGGGUGGCAGGCUGAGCGGUGGCACUGCUCGGCCCCAGCCUGGGCAAAAAGGGAUUUUAUCACCAGGAAAGAGCAGCAGAGAGGGUUUGGAGCCCGGCCGUGGGGCAGGGAUGUAGAAUUUGCCCAGAAUCAGCUGGGAAAAAGGCUGGCGAGCUCUCCGCGCACAUCCCCGGGUGCCGGGGGGGGUCCCCACGGAGCUGGAGCUCGCGGCUCCCCCCGUGCAACCAACCCGUCCCGGCGAUCCCUGGUGCUCCAGGGACGUCCCCGCUUCACGGGCGAGCACUGA